AAACUUUCACACACCUAUUUCCACAACUUUCGAAAAAACUAUUCGUGUACAGUAACACAACCUCCAUCACCAUUAAAAAUUCCACAAUUUCUAACACUUACAACCUUGUACAUAUUAUACACUAACACUAGCAACCAUUGUACAUAUAGUUUCCCCUGCAUUUAUUUCACGAACAGUAACACAAACUUGCAUCCAUCGCAUCACAACCAUAAAAAUCAACUUCAAAUUCUAGAUCCAUAAUUCUCACAUUCAAAAAUCGCAAUCAAUUAUUUUUAUCAAACAAUGCAGGAAUAAUACUAACAAAAUCAAUAUUGUAUGAGCUUGUUUUGCAGGUAAAGGAAAUCGUAACAGAAAUUGUAGCCAAAAGCAGGCCGCUGCUUGCCGGACAACACCAGGACGCGAAACUAUAGCCGAUCCCUUCGUCGGAACCAGCGCCACGUACAACUCACAGAUCCAUCAAUCCAGCCGCGCGGCAACCGCAACCUGCUCCGAUCGAGACACCACAAGGACUGCCGGAUCCCCGCUACGGACCUCCUCCGGAACGGAUCCGACACACACGUUGUACCAGCUCCGCGACCGCCGCCACUGCAACGCCGCUUCCCUCACCGCGCUGCGAACCACCGGCCAACACCGAGACCACCGCUGGAGCCACGACGCCGAUUCGAUUUUUGUUGUUGUUGUUGUUGUUGUUUUUGCAGAGGAACAGAGAAGAAGGAAAGGCUCCGCAUCAGUCGCAUUUCCGCCGACAACACCGACGAUGUUCUCCACUCCACGUCGGCGCAGCAAAACCGACACCGUGCAUCAUCCACGCAGCCAUCACUUUCACGCAGAACCGCCCUCCAUAAGAAUCCGCCCAGCUGCGACGUCGUUCCGCCUUUACACCACCAAUCGCACCAUCCCACAAAUUCAGAUUCAAAUCGGGUAAAAUGAUAUUUUGAUUUUGUUGAUUAAUGUAUCUUAUUUGCUGGAACUGUUGUUAUUGUUUUGAUUAUUGCUUGAUUGUUAUUACUGUAAUUAUUUAAAUUGUUUGUAUUGAAUUUUGGAGAAAUAAGCCAUGGUAGAAGAAAAACGGUCACGAAGAUGAUGAAAGAGAGGUUGAAGAAACACUAAAAAUCACGUGUUUCCUUAUUUUAAUCUCUUUCAUUUAAUUAAAUUUUUUAGUUUUAUUUUAUUGACUUGGCAUGGCUUCAUUUGUUGUUUAUUUUAAUUAAAUAAAAUUAAAAAAUGCUUUUUUUUUGGUAUAAUAAAAAAAAUAAUCUACAAUAUAAGAAAGUUAACUGAUCUGGAAAAACCAAAAAUGCCCUUCUUGCCCAAUAUUAAGCCACGUGUAUAGCUUAAGCAUUCAGCACUCUGUUUUACAACAACUCCUUCUACGAAAGUUUCAGAGACUGUUUUUCUUCCAAAUUCAAAAAUAGUUUCUCACUCAUUAAUCCGUGUACCUUCUCUUUCUCGACCUCGUCUUUUUUCUCCCUCCUUUGCUUACGGCUUUACCUUCUUCUUCCUUACCCCUCUUCUUCUUCCUCCUCAUCACAUUAAACCUAACUUUUUGAGAGAUCAAACCCCCUACGAUACCCGACAACAACACCACCGCUCUCAUAGCCUAACACAACACAACGUGUUUCUAUCGCUGCUCCGACAUCAAAACCACUGCACUUCAACCUAAUACUCCUUCGCCCACCGGUUCUAUUCCAUCGUACAUAUUUUGCCACCGACGUAGCUAUUUACCUAAAGGUAUGUUUAAUGUUGAAGAUUUAGGGUUUAAGGGUUUUAUAUGUUUUGUUGAUUAAUGGUUUUCUUACGGUGUUGAUUUUCUAAAUAAUGUUGUUUUAGGCUGAAGAUGAUAAACCUGAUUAUAUUGUCAGGAUUGUCGAGUUCUUCGAAUCUGAAGACAAAGAUCUAUUUUUUACCGCUUAAAGGUUUUACAUAGCCGGAGAUAUUCUAAGUUUUUUUAAUUAUUUUUUGUGUGAGUGUUCAUAUUUGUAGGUUAUUAAGAUUCAUCCAGAGCUAAUUGACAAGAAGAUUGUCUUUAUAUAUGGUGUCAAAGAUGAAAAUCCUCUUGAUAGUAUUGUGAGAUAAGCGAAGAUUGCCCUAAUUACUUCUGAUGGAACUGGAGUAACGCCGACGACUACCAGCACAAUGAAUGUUGGAAAAUCCUUUCACCAUCCUUUUGAAAAAGAAGCAUUUUGUCUCUUUAAAUUAUCUAUGAUUUCAGUGCCGAUGUCAACGCUCAAGAUCGUUGGAAGAACACCGUAAUUCGAUUUUAAUUUUCCUUAAUUCUAUGUGGCUGUGUUAUUUGAUUGAUUUUGAAACUAAAUUUAAAUUUAAAUUGAGUUGAUUCCUUAUGUUAAAAACUUGUGUUGGAAUAUCAUUAUGAGGUGAAACAUACAGGUGAAGAGCAAGCUAAAUGUCAGAUGAACAAUUGGAAUACUAAAGAAGAAACUGAAAAAUAAGUUGAGCCAGUGGUGAGGAAUUGAAAUGAUUUUAUUUUCUUAUUUCAAAAGUAAAGUGUGAUUUUUUUCCUUUCAGAGAAGUGUGUUGUGUCGUAUUGGCUUAUAUGUCAUUUGUGUUUAUUUGUCAGGCUGAAUGCUCAAGGUGAUUCAUUUCAACUUAUCGCUUUGAUUUCUAUUUUGUUUUUUAAAGACUUUCGUUUCAACUUAUCUCUGAUUGUUUAGUGUGUUUGUUUCCUCCCGCAACUCAUCUGGAAUGUAAGCUUUCUGUUAAUCCAUCUAUAAUUCAUUAUCAUCAAUUUAGGUGCAUUCGAAUUGAAGCACUGAUUAUUGAUUUUUUUUUAUUCUACAUAGGCUAAUCCAUUUGCAAUUCAUCAUCAUCAUCAUCAUCAUCAUCAUCAUCAUCUGUUUACAACCUUUAAUAUAAGUGAUACUUGCUAUCAUGUACUUUAUCACCAUAAUGUUUUUAUGGUCCUUCAACUAAUUCAUCACCACAGUGUUUUUGUGAACAUACUAACAAUUUUCAAUGAUUGAUAACUCUGAUUUUAUUCAAUCUUUGUUUGGGUUUCAUUUGUUUCAUGUGUUGUUGUACUCUCCAUUUUAUCUUUUUGGCAGACGUAAUUGGAAUGGUUGAUGGCAUUGGAUUUUUGCACACACAGUCAGGGACGUGAGAAUCAGUAGUGCAAGUGUUGAAGGAUGAUGAUGAAAUAAAGGAGAAACUAUGAAGAUUUUGGAAAUUUGCAAUAACAGGUUAUCAUAUUAUGGAGAGAUCUUUCGUUGAUUGUCGUCAUCGCGGUACAGCCAUAAAAUUGACACCAAUGAUAAGGGCAGUGAUUGCAAUCUGUGGAUCGAAUAGGAGUGAUCACUCCAUUAUUGAAAUAUGAGUAAUUUUCAUUCAGUCUAUUAAGUUUAAUUUAGAAUUGGGUUAUGCAGAGGUUAGGUAUGCAAUGAUGAUGGCCUAUUAUUUAAUAUAAAUUGUGUAAUUGAGAAAAGGCCAGUAUGUGUGUUGGUCUGUGUGACUUAUGAAUUUUGGAUAGUUUUGUAUUUAUAAACACUCUUCCUUCUUGGAAGGACAAUAUGCAGAUUACUGGUGUCAAAUUGUUGACCCAAACAAAACAUAUAUCUGCCUUGGAAAUCUUAGCCAGUCAGGGGGAGUUGAAGGAUUGCAUUGACGUUGCCAAUUAAAGACCAUAUGCUUACCGGUUAUUUAAGAAAUUUAUGUCCUGACAACAUUAAGAGUUAGGCGUGUGUAGUGCAUGUUUUGAUAAAGGCAAGAGGGCUUUGUGUUGGUUUUUAUUAUAAAUGGGAGCUAUAUGUAACGAGGCACAAAGUUUGAAAGUACAAGAGAGUGCAUAGUAGUAGUUACUUACUGUGUUUUUUUUUACUAUAUCUCACUCAUUCAAAUUUGUAAUUCUUUUUGUCCCAAAAUAUUUAGAAAUAGACCAUA